rnacentral:rRNA from 1 species
GACGAACGCUGGCGGCGUGCUUAACACAUGCAAGUCGAGCGAGGCCCUUCCUUCGGGAAGGUGCCCUAGCGGCGAACGGGUGAGUAACACGUGGGCAACCUGCCCUCAGCUCUGGGAUAACCCCGGGAACGGGGCGUAAUACCGGUAUACGACCACAGUGGGCAUCCGCUUGUGGUGGAAAGAUUUAUCGGCUGAGGAUGGGCCCGCGGCCUAUCAGCUAGUUGGUGAGGUAACGGCCCACCAAGGCAACGACGGGUAGCCGGCCUGAGAGGGCGACCGGCCACACUGGGACUGAGACACGGCCC